AAAAUUGAUGCUAUUGUUAUGCCUUGCUGUCUUUGUCAUCACUGGAUAUUAAUAGUUGUUAACUUCCGUGAGCAAUCAAUAGUAGCUUAUGACUCAAUAGGAGGGUAUAUUGCUAAGACAAAGGAAGCAUUGAAGCUGUUACUGUCAUACCUGAAUAACUUAAUUGGCCCUGGCUCAAGCCCAUCUUUAUAUUCAAUUUUCAUAACUACAAGCUAGUUGAAAAGGACGUUCCUAGACAGCAGAAUUAUAUUGACUGUGGAGUGUUUAUGUGUAGGUAUGCCUUUCAUGUUGCCACAAAUACUGGUCUAACU